GGGCCCGCACAAGCAGUGGAGUAUGUGGUUUAAUUCGACGCAACGCGAAGAACCUUACCAGGGCUUGACAUAUAGAUGAAUACUUUGGAAACGAAGUAGCUCUUCGGAGCAUCUAUACAGGUGGUGCAUGGUUGUCGUCAGCUCGUGUCGUGAGAUGUUGGGUUAAGUCCCGCAACGAGCGCAACCCCUCGUUAUUAGUUGCCAGCACGUAAAGGUGGGAACUCUAAUGAGACUGCCGUUGAUAAAACGGAGGAAGGUGGGGACGGACGUCAAAUCAUCAUGCCCUAUAUGUCCUGGGCGUACACACGUACUACAAUGGCUAUAACAGAGAGAAGCGAAGUAGAGAUAUGGAGCGAAACUCAAAAAAGUAAGUCUCAGUUCGGAUUGAAGGCUGAAAUUCGCCUACAUGAAGCUGGAAUUGCUAGUAAUGGCAGGUCAGCAUACUG
rnacentral:rRNA from 1 species